UACGGAGGGUGCGAGCGUUGUCCGGAAUCACUGGGCGUAAAGGGCGCGUAGGCGGCGCGAGUAGUCAACGGUGAAAGCCCGGGGCUCAACCCCGGGUCGGCCGUCGAUACUCUCGUGCUUGAGCACUGUAGAGGCAGGUGGAAUUCCGGGUGUAGCGGUGGAAUGCGUAGAGAUCCGGAAGAACACCGGUGGCGAAGGCGGCCUGCUGGGCAGUAGCUGACGCUGAGGCGCGACAGCG
rnacentral:rRNA from 1 species